rnacentral:rRNA from 1 species
GAUGAACGCUGGCGGCGUGCCUAAUACAUGCAAGUCGAGCGAACAGACGAGGAGCUUGCUCCUCUGACGUUAGCGGCGGACGGGUGAGUAACACGUGGAUAACCUACCUAUAAGACUGGGAUAACUUCGGGAAACCGGAGCUAAUACCGGAUAAUAUAUUGAACCGCAUGGUUCAAUAGUGAAAGACGGUUUUGCUGUCACUUAUAGAUGGAUCCGCGCCGCAUUAGCUAGUUGGUAAGGUAACGGCUUACCAAGGCAACGAUGCGUAGCCGACCUGAGAGGGUGAUCGGCCACCCUGGAACUGAGACACGGUCCAGACUCCUACGGGAGGCAGCAGUAGGGAAUCUUCCGCAAUGGGCGAGAGCUUGACGGAGCAACGCCGCGUGAGUGAUGAAGGUCUUCGGAUCGUAAAACUCUGUUAUUAGGGAAGAACAAAUGUGUAAGUAACUAUGCACGUCUUGACGGUACCUAAUCAGAAAGCCACGGCUAACUACGUG